UGCCGCGUGCAGGAUGAAGGCCUUCGGGUUGUAAACUGCUUUUGUACGGAACGAAACGGUCUUUUCUAAUACAGAAGGCUAAUGACGGUACCGUAAGAAUAAGCACCGGCUAACUACGUGCCAGCAGCCGCGGUAAUACGUAGGGUGCAAGCGUUAAUCGGAAUUACUGGGCGUAAAGCGUGCGCAGGCGGUUAUGUAAGACAGUUGUGAAAUCCCCGGGCUCAACCUGGGAACUGCAUCUGUGACUGCAUAGCUAGAGUACGGUAGAGGGGGAUGGAAUUCCGCGUGUAGCAGUGAAAUGCGUAGAUAUGCGGAGGAACACCGAUGGCGAAGGCAAUCCCCUGGACCUGUACUGACGCUCAUGCACGAAAGCGUGGGGAGCAAACAGGAUUAGAUACCCUGGUAGUCCACGCCCUAAACGAUGUCAACUGGUUGUUGGGUCUUCACUGACUCAGUAACGAAGCUAACGCGUGAAGUUGACCGCCUGGGGAGUACGGCCGCAAGGUUGAAACUCAAAUG
rnacentral:rRNA from 1 species